rnacentral:rRNA from 1 species
AAACUCGAAAGGAAGUUGACGGGGCCCGCACAAGCGGAGGAACAUGUGGUUUAAUUCGAUGAUACGCGAGGAACCUUUACCUGGGCUUAAAUGGGGAGUGACAGCUGUCGAAAGAUGGUUUUUCUUCGGACACUCUUCAAGGUGCUGCAUGGUUGUCGUCAGCUCGUGCCGUGAGGUGUCGGGUUAAGUCCCAUAACGAGCGCAACCCUUACCGUUAGUUACCAUCAGGUUAAGCUGGGGACUCUAGCGGGACUGCCACCGUAAGGUGAGAGGAAGGUGGGGAUGACGUCAAAUCAGCACGGCCCUUAUGUCCAGGGCUACACACGUGUUACAAUGGCCAGUACAAAGGGCAGCUACCGGGUGACCGGAUGCUAAUCUCUAAAGCUGGUCUCAGUUCGGAUCGAAGUCUGCAACCCGACUACGUGAAGUCGGAAUCGCUAGUAAUCGUGGAUCAGCAUGUCACGGUGAAUACGUUCCCGGGUCUU